rnacentral:lncRNA from 1 species
UUGAACCCAGGAGGUGGAGGUUGCGGUGAGCCGACAUCAUGCCAUUGCACUCCAGCCUGGGAAAACUCCAUCUCAAAAAAAAAAGAAAGAAAAAAGAAAAUUGAAUUUAUAACUUCACAUCUCCCAAGAAAAAUAAUCAGGCCCAGAUGGUUUCACUGGAGAAUUAUAACAAACCUUUAAAAAUAAAUUAACACUAAUUCUACACAAUCUCUUCUAGAAAAAUAAAAGAGAAGGAAAGGGAACCCUAUCCGAUUCAUUUUAUGAGGCCAGCAUCACCCUGAUACCAAAACCAGAGAAAGACAGUACAAAAAAAGAAAACUACAGACCAAUAUCCUUCAUGAAUAUAGAUGCAAAAAAAAUUUAACCAAAUAUUAGCAAAUAAAAUUCAGCAAUGUGAAAAAAAGAAUUAUACACCAUGACCAAGUUUUGUUUUUUCCAGGGAUGCAGGAUUGGUUUAUGUUUGAAAAUCAAACAUUGAAUUCACCAUGUUAGCAGGCUAAAUAAGAAAAAUCCCAUGAUCAUAUCAAUUGGUGCAGAAAAAAGCAUUUGGCUAAGCUUUACAUCCAUUCAUGAUAAAAACUCCCAGAAAACUAGGUAGAGAGUGAAAACUACCUCAAUGUAAUAAGAACAUCUACAAAAAGCCUAUAGUUAAUGUUUUACUUAAUGGUGAAAGACUGAAUCUUCCCCCUUGCAGGAUACAGUAGCAACAUAUAAAAAUCAAUUAUAUUUCUGUAUACUAGCAAUGAACAAUUUAAUCAAAAUAAAAAUACAAUUUAAAAUCACUCAAAAAAUGAAAUAUUUAGAUGUAAAUUUAACAAAAUAUGUACAGGACCUAUUAAAUGAAAACCACAAGACACUGAUGAAAGAAAUCAAAGAUGUAAAUAAAUAGAGAUUUGCUAUGUUUACAAAUUGGAAGACACAACGUAAUAAAGAUACCAGUUCUCCUCAAACUGAUACAUAGACUUAACCCAAUUCAUAUCACAAUCCGAACAAGAUUCUUUGUAGAUACAGACAAGAAAAUUUUAAAAUUUAUAUUUUACAAUAUAAAUUUUCUAAAAGACAAAGGAACAAGACUAGCUAAAACAAUUUUGGAAAAUAAUAACUUGGAGAAAUCACUCUUUUCUGUUUCAAUAGUAUGCGGUAUUGCUGAUGAGAUACACACAUAGAUCAAUGGAACACAGGAAACCCUUAAAUAGAGUUUUUGCACUUUUUAAAUUUAGCAUAAUCUUUUUUUUUUUUUUUGAGACGGAGUCUCGCUCUGUCACCCAGGCUGGAGUGCAGUGGCGCUAUCUCAGCUCACUGCAAGCCCCGCCUCCCGAGUUCACACCAUUCUCCUGCCUCAGCCUCAGGAGUAGCUGGGACUACAGGCGCCUGCCACCAC